rfam:Ovis aries breed Texel chromosome 5, whole genome shotgun sequence.
UCCCUGGUGACUCAGUGGUAAAGAACCUGCCUGCCAAUGCAGGAGACAUAGGUUCGAUCCCUGGUCUGGGAA